CCCCCACCCACCUUACACCAAACACCAAACCACCUCUCUAUUUCACCCACUCUCUCUUCCAUCUUCUUCAUUCUCCCAACCCCCCCACCCCAUCAAUGGUGAUUUUGCUCUAGAACAUAUUUUCUUACAAAACAUACACACUUUCUUGAAACACACACACACACACUAUGUUCAAAUUAUCAAUACUCAUCCCUUCUCUCACACUACUCAUAUCAAUCUCCCUUCUCAUACUACUAGCACCAAGAAUCCUUCCAAAUCAUCAAAUCACCAUUUCUCUCCCUGAUGAACUAGAUGAUCUUUCCCUAUUCAACAAAGCCAUUGCUGCUGAAACCACUUUUCCAAAACACCCCUCACACAAAAACAAACUCCGUCUAGGUACCAUCAAAGUUCAUCAACCAAAAAUCGCAUUCAUGUUCCUAACCAAUUCAGAUUUACACUUUUCGCCAUUAUGGGAAAACUUCUUCAAUGGUAGUGAUCCACAUCUUUACAAUAUUUACGUACAUGAUGAUCCAUAUAUCAAGAUACCUCCAUUGAAGGGUGUUUUUAAAGAUCGUUUAAUCCCAUCGAAGCGAACUCAACGUUCGUCUCCUACACUUAUAUCUGCUGCAAGAAGGUUACUUGCCUAUGCAAUGAUAGAUGAUCCAACAAACUUGUAUUUCGCUCUUAUAUCUCAGCAUUGUAUCCCAUUACAUUCGUUUAGUUACAUGUACAGAUUCUUACUUGAUGCACGUAGACUGUCUAGGAACAUGGAAUUCCCUAGUUACAUUGAGAUUCUUGAUCAUUCUGAUUCGUUGUUCGAUAGGUAUAAUGCUAGGGGUGACAAUGUAAUGUUACCUGAAGUGAAAUUUAUGGACUUUAGAGUUGGGUCUCAGUUCUUCGUGUUAACUAGGAGACAUUCGUUAAUGGUGAUUAAAGAUAGGAAGUUAUGGAGGAAGUUUAGAAAACCAUGUAUAAAUGUUGAAUCUUGUUAUCCUGAAGAACAUUAUUUUCCAACUUUGUUGUCAAUGGAGGAUUUGAAUGGUUGUAGUAAGUAUACAUUGACAAAUGUGAAUUGGACUGAUAGUGUUGAUGGACAUCCACAUACUUAUCAUCCAUAUGAAGUUUCUUCAAAGCUGAUUUAUGAUCUUAGAGAGUCAAAUUCUACAUAUUCUUAUAUGUUUGCAAGGAAAUUUUCACCUGAUUGCUUGAAGCCUUUGAUGGAAUUGGCAGAUUCAGUAAUUUUCAAGGACUAAUUCUUGUUUUGCCCCCAUUGAUUGAAAAUCUGGACAAGCCAGCCUUUCUACCUCGCAAGGUACGGGUAAGAUUUGCGUACACUUUAUCCUCUUCAGAUUCCAUCAGUGGAUUACACGUACAUUUUAUCCUCAUCAGACCCCACUAGUGGAUUACAAGCUCAAUUUAUCCUCUCCGGACCGCAUCAGUGGAUUACAUUAAAUAUGUUGUUGGAAAUUUGGAAAGUGUCAAUAGUCAUCAUACUAUAGUGAUGAUGAAGGGGUGAAGACAAAGAUGAUGUUGUGAAGACAAAAAAGAAAAAAAGAUAAAAAAAGAAGAGGUUGUUGUGUAGGAGUAACACUUGUGGGAAUAAGGUUUCUUGAAGGGUUUGUUAAAAACAACAUUGCCCUCAAACCAAGUAAAUCCCAAAAGCAAAGUAUCCAACUCAAAGCUUUGGAUAUGCUUUCAAAGAAAGCAAUGGAAAAACUAGUUUUAGUAACAUGUCUUAGUGGUAGGUUGUAGUAAUCCUUUGGUGUUUUUGGGUGUGUUUUUCUCGAUGUUGCUCGGACACUUCAAAAAUGCAUCAGGUGUGUUAUGUUAUCCGAUCUUUCAAAAGCAAUGUAUAUUUGGAAGAUCGGCACGGAUGUAGCUACAUUUUUGGAGGUUCUGAACAACGUAGAUUUUUCCUGUACAUAUUUGGAGAGUAUAUAUGUGUUUUAGGUGAAUUAUUAUGAGGGUUUGGCCUUUUGAACAAAAUAAAGAAAAGUGCUAAACCCAUAUUACUUUUUUCCACUACUUGUGGACAUGUAUCAAAUCAUAAUAUUUACUAUUCAGUGUAGUAAAUGAUUUAAGAGAA